ensembl:lncRNA
CGACCUCCAAAAAUAUUAUUUUUGGAAAAAAGGAACAUUUGCUAUCUAACUGGGAGUCUCCUGAGUGAAAGCAUCUGAAGUUCUUCAAAGGACCUGAGCCCUAGGACCAUGCCCCAGGACUACCUGACAUGAUGACUCCUUGCUGUCCCCAGUCCAUCUGACCGUGCUGCUGCUCCAGUUUCAACUGUUCUGCCUUAUUAUUAUACGACCAUGCUGGUCAUUUAUGAACAUUUGAACAUCUUGGCCAUGUUCUGUUAUAAUCUCCACCCGGCACAGCCAGAAGAGGACUGGCCACCCCACAUAGCCUGGUUCCUCUCUAGGUUUCUUCCUAGGUGUUGGCCUUUCUAGGGAGUUUUUCCUAGCCACCGUGCUUCGACACCUGCAUUGCUUGCUGUUUGGGGUUUUAGGCUGGGUUUCUGUACAGCACUUUGAGAUAUCAGCUGAUGUACGAAGGGCUAUAUAAAUAAAUUUGAUUUGAUUUGAUUUGAUAUUUUUACCUUGUCAGCUCAGGGAUUCGAUUCAGCAACCUUUCUGUUACCGGCCCAAUGCUGUUACCGGCCCAAUGCUCUGCCCAGUAAGUUACUGUAAGUUAUUUUCCAGUACAUCUACUGUGAUCCAUUUAACGGAAAUCCAUUUUACAGUCCCACAUUUACAGUAUACUACUGGAAUUACCCAUGCAGUGAUAUAUUACUCAGUGUUCGUUGCAAUUUAGCAGGCGCUCUUGUCCUUAACUUACAGUCAGUGCAUUCAACCACGGUGGAUAUCACAGUCAUAGCAAAGAAAAAGUUUAUGUAACUGUUACUUUAAAUAUUGUUGUCGUUAAGUAUACAUUGGUCUUCAAAAUAAUUGUAAUUACAACAACAUAUAUUGAUAUAUCUCUGAAUAUCUCUGGAUAGUGCCAAUACAAUACUUAUAUAUUCACAGUAAAUUAAAUGCCAGGGCAAUGAAACAACACAGUACACGUGACUAUUUGUUUCACCUGUCCUUGUGAUUGUCUCCACCCCCUCCAGGUGUCACCCAUCUAGCCCCAUCAUCUUCUGUGUAUUUAUACCUGUGUUCUCUGUUUGUCCAUUGCCAAUUCAUCUUGUUUGUCAGGUCAACCAGUGUUUUGGUUCUCAGCUCCUGCUUUUCCCAGUCUCUCUUUUUCUCACCCUCCUGGUUUUGACCCUUGCCUGUCCUGACUCUGAGCCAGCCUGUCUGACCACUCUGCCUGACCCUAAGCCUGCCUGCCAACCUGUACCUUCGCCCCACCUCUGGAUUGUUGACCUCUGCCUACCCUGCCCCUGCCUGUCGUCCGGUACCGUUGCCCCACCUCUGGUUUACUGACCCCUGCCUGCCUUGACCUGUCUAUUGCCUGCCGCUGUUGAAAUAUUAAACCAUUGUCAAUUCAACGUGUCUUUAUCUGGGACUUACCUUGAUUUCUGAUACUAUUUAAUUGUAACUUAUCAAAAGAAGUCUACAGUAUUUCACUGUAAUCACAAAGGAUUAAAGCAAGCAGGUUGGCUGUUGCAUAUUACUGAAUACUAGGUGUUUUAUAUCACUUGCAAUUCCAGAAGCUUAAACAAAGGUUUCUAAACUGGCUAUGGUUACAGGGCAAAACAGAUAAAAUAAACAUUGGUAAAUAUUCAACCAGUAAAAGUUUUUAGACCCGCAAUCACUCUGAUCUGUUCCCU